CCCGCUGAACUUAAGCAUAUUAGUAAGCGGAAGGAAAAGAAACUAACAAGGAUUCCCCUAGUAGCUGCGAGCGAACAGGGAUGAGCCCAGCACUGAAUCCCAAAGGCCUCGCCUUUAGGGAAAUGUAGUGUUUAGGAGUGCCCGUUUAACCCGGGGUCCGUGCACCGCGUUCAAGUCCAUCUUGAACGGGGCCACGGUCCGCAGAGGGUGCCAGGCCCGUAGAUGACCGGUGCCGGCCCCGGGUGGGUCCCUCCUUAGAGUCGGGCUGCUUGAGAGUGCAGCCCUAAGCGGGUGGUAAACUCCAUCUAAGGCUAAAUACAACCACGAGACCGAUAGAGAACAAGUACCGUGAGGGAAAGUUGAAAAGAACUCUGAAUGAGAGAG
rnacentral:rRNA from 1 species